GACGUAGGGGGCAAGCGUUGUCCGGAAUCAUUGGGCGUAAAGAGCGUGUAGGCGGCCCGGUAAGUCCGCUGUGAAAGCCCCGGGCUCAACCUGGGAAUGGCGUUGAAGACUGUUUGACUUGAGUCGGAUAGAGGGUUGUGGAAUUUCCGGUGUAGCGGUGAAAUGCGUAGAGAUCGGAAAGAACACCGGUGGCGAAGGCGGCAACCUGGAUCCAGACUGACACUGAGGGGCGAAGGCGUGGGGAGCAAACAGG
rnacentral:rRNA from 1 species